rnacentral:rRNA from 1 species
UGGGGAAUUGUUCACAAUGGGCGCAAGCCUGAUGACGCAACGCCGCGUGGAGGAUGAAGGUCUUCGGAUUGUAAACUCCUGUUGCCAGGGACGAAAAGCUUCGACCUAAUACGUCGAAGUCUGACGGUACCUGGUGAGGAAGCCCCGGCUAACUCUGUGCCAGCAGCCGCGGUAAUACAGAGGGGGCAAGCGUUGUUCGGAAUUACUGGGCGUAAAGGGCGCGUAGGUGGCCUUCUAAGUCGAACGUGAAAUCCCUGGGCUCAACCCAGGAACUGCGUCCGAGACUGGGAGGCUUGAAUCCGGGAGAGGGAUGCGGAAUUCCAGGUGUAGCGGUGAAAUGCGUAGAUAUCUGGAGGAACACCGGUGGCGAAGGCGGCAUCCUGGACCGGUAUUGACACUGAGGCGCGAAAGCCAGGGGAGCAAACGGGAUUAGAUACCCAGGUAGUCCCUGAGCGGGCUGGCAAGGCGCAU